AUCUUAGUACCCGGAGGAAGAGAAAGAAAAUUCGAUUCCCUUAGUAGCGGCGAGCGAAACGGGAAGAGCCCAAACCAACAAGCUUGCUUGUUGGGGUUGUAGGACACUCUAUACGGAGUUACAAAGGACGACAUUAGACGAAUCAUCUGGAAAGAUGAAUCAAAGAAGGUAAUAAUCCUGUAGUCGAAAAUGUUGUCUCUCUUGAGUGGAUCCUGAGUACGACGGAGCACGUGAAAUUCCGUCGGAAUCUGGGAGGACCAUCUCCUAAGGCUAAAUACUCUCUAGUGACCGAUAGUGAACCAGUACCGUGAGGGAAAGGUGAAAAGCACCCCGGAAGGGGAGUGAAAUAGAACCUGAAACCGUGUGCUUACAAGUAGUCAGAGCCCGUUAAUGGGUGAUGGCGUGCCUUUUGUAGAAUGAACCGGCGAGUUACGAUUUGAUGCAAGGUUAAGCAGUAAAUGUGGAGCCGUAGCGAAAGCGAGUCUGAAUAGGGCGUUUAGUAUUUGGUCGUAGACCCGAAACCAGGUGAUCUACCCUUGGUCAGGUUGAAGUUCAGGUAACACUGAAUGGAGGACCGAACCGACUUACGUUGAAAAGUGAGCGGAUGAACUGAGGGUAGCGGAGAAAUUCCAAUCGAACCUGGAGAUAGCUGGUUCUCUCCGAAAUAGCUUUAGGGCUAGCCUCAAGUGAUGAUUAUUGGAGGUAGAGCACUGUUUGGACGAGGGGCCCCUCUCGGGUUACCGAAUUCAGACAAACUCCGAAUGCCAAUUAAUUUAACUUGGGAGUCAGAACAUGGGUGAUAAGGUCCGUGUUCGAAAGGGAAACAGCCCAGACCACCAGCUAAGGUCCCAAAAUAUAUGUUAAGUGGAAAAGGAUGUGGCGUUGCCCAGACAACUAGGAUGUUGGCUUAGAAGCAGCCAUCAUUUAAAGAGUGCGUAAUAGCUCACUAGUCGAGUGACACUGCGCCGAAAAUGUACCGGGGCUAAACAUAUUACCGAAGCUGUGGAUUGUCCUUUGGACAAUGGUAGGAGAGCGUUCUAAGGGCGUUGAAGCAUGAUCGUAAGGACAUGUGGAGCGCUUAGAAGUGAGAAUGCCGGUGUGAGUAGCGAAAGACGGGUGAGAAUCCCGUCCACCGAUUGACUAAGGUUUCCAGAGGAAGGCUCGUCCGCUCUGGGUUAGUCGGGUCCUAAGCUGAGGCCGACAGGCGUAGGCGAUGGAUAACAGGUUGAUAUUCCUGUACCACCUAUAAUCGUUUUA
rnacentral:rRNA from 1 species